rnacentral:hammerhead_ribozyme from 1 species
CUGCCACUGAGGAGUCCCAUACUAGGACGAAACGGCCGUCUAGUAC